GGAACACAGGCCCGGCUGAUGAAACAAGUCGAAGUUACGGAGUAGGGAUUUCAGGAAGGCGCUUUCACGGGAGCCACUCUGGCUAUCAUAGCCCUGCACUUUCUCUCUUCUUGGGCCCAGAAAGCAGACACAAGAGUCUUGCUGUGCGAGGCACCAAGCACUGGAUGAGCACAUGGUGGAUUCUUAACCACUGGACCACCAGGGAAGGCCACUUUGUUUUUUAAAAAAUAAGCCUUAGCUGGCUAAGGUAUAGACUAAAGUCUGCUAACGAAGUAACUACCAUCCAAAACCCUCCAACCCCCACACCUUGCUUCCCUCAAGUGCGUGAGAAUUGGCAGUUAGCCCUCCUGCCUGUGGGCUCUCCCCUGCUGCUAAGUUGCUUCAGUCGUGUCCGACUCUGCGCGACCUCAUAGACGGCAGCCCACCAGGCUCCCCUGCCCCUGGGAUUCUCCAGGCAAGAACACUGGAGUGGGUUGCCAUUUCCUUCCCCAAUUCAUGAAAGUGAAAAGUGAAAGUGAAGUCUCUCAGUCAUGUCCCACUCUUCGCGACCCCAUGGACUGCAGCCCACCAGGCUCCUCCGUCAUGGGAUUUUCCAGGCAAGAGUACUGGAGUGGGGUGCCAUUGCCUUCUCCGGGCUCUCCCCUUCCAACUGUGAAAUCUUCCCUUCCUUGGUUCUGCUUACCAGCCCUACCACAGACCUACCUUACUAGAUAAAAGCGCAGGUCGAUAAAUGAAUCAGUGGGGUACCAAGCCCAGGCUUCCAUCAUGGCCCACUGGCAGCCUUUGGCCCAAGGUCUUUAGGCCUCACCUGACCCUUUGGCAUCCUAAAGGGCACAGUCAAGCCCCUGGCUGAGCUGCAGGCCCUCAAGCCCCACCAGCCUCUGUAGGGCUGAUUCAUGUGGCCUGGUCGUGUCUUUGGAUUUGGACUUGGAAAUCUCACAGGUUGGGGUCAAAGCCCACCCUGCAUCCUACCCAGAGCUGCCCAAGAGAAAAAAAAGCUGCAUCCCUGAGAGUGUGUCUGCUGAGCCGCCAUGAGAGAAUGUGGAGGAGCCCCUGGAAAACAAAACUCUGUGACUGGAAUGAGGCAGCAGAGUAGCCACCGCUGCUGUGGGAAUUUUCUCUAAGAUCAGCAU
ensembl:lncRNA